rnacentral:piRNA from 1 species
UCGUUGGUAGCGCUCCAAGCGCGUGAUG